GGGUAUAGUUCAGUUGGUAGAACGUCGGUCUCCAAAACCGGAUGUCGAGGGUUCAAGUCCUUCUGCCC
rnacentral:tRNA from 1 species